AUGCGUUAGCUGUGCCACUGAACCCGAAAGUCCAACGGCUAGUUGUCAUCGUUUACGGCGUGGACUACCAGGGUAUCUAAUCCUGUUUGCUACCCACGCUUUCGCACCUCAGCGUCAGUUACGGUCCAGAGAGUUGCCUUCGCCAUUGGUAUUCCUCAUGAUAUCUACGCAUUUCACCGCUACACCAUGAAUUCUACUCUCCUCUCCCGUACUCCAGUUUAAAAGUUUUGAAUGCAGUUCCCAGGUUAAGCCCGGGGAUUUCACACCCAACUUGUCAAACCGCCUACGCGCGCUUUACGCCCAGUAAUUCCGAUUAACGCUUGGACCCUCUGUAUUACCGCGGCUGCUGGCACGGAGUUAGCCGGUCCUUAUUCUGUAAGUAAUGUCAUGGUCAUUGGGUAUUAACCAAUGACUUUUCUUCCUUACCUAAAGUGCUUUACAACCCGAAGGCCUUC
rnacentral:rRNA from 1 species